rnacentral:lncRNA from 1 species
AUUAAGUGUUUCCAAAUAAGGAACUCUGAAAGCAACAAUAUUUAAUAGGGAUAAAUAGAUAACCUUAACAAGAUUGAUGACAAAUGCAAAUUUCAAAAUUUGAAAAAACUUAAGAAAUGGCUUAAAUACAUGGAAAAUUGUUAAUUAAUGUGUAGUUAGAGGUGGAACCUUUAACUUUCUCCUCUUGGAAACCAGUAAGGACUAGAAGACGAUGCUAUGAAGCAGUCAAGCCAAACUGAAGAUUCCAGAACAUUCCAGCAACAAUGGAGCACUUGAGGUUUAAAAUACAGGUGUUCAUCAAAAGGAUAAAUGAAUGAAGAAUUUGAAAUAUAGAGAUACAUAUGUAUGAUGGAAUAUUCACCCACAAAUAAUAAAACCUUGCCAUGUGCAGCAAAAUGAAUGGGGUUAAUGACUAUCAAGAUUUUGCGGGGAUAUAAGCUGUAAGGGAAAAAAUGAAGACAUAAGAGAAGGAAAACACCAGGAGAGAUGUAGAAGGAAAGAUGGAAGGAAGACAUCAAAAGAGACAGAAGGGAUACGUCUGGAUAGAG